CAGCGCCACAAGUGGCAAUCACGUUUAUUGGGCCUAAAGCGUCCGUAGCCGGUGUAGCAAAUCUUUUGUGAAAUCGUCAGGCUUAACUUGACGAAUUGCAGAAGACACUACUAAACUAGGGACUGGGAGGAGUCAGAAGUAUUCUGGGGGGACCGGUAAAAUGGUAUAAUCCCCAGAGGACUACCGAUGGCGAAGGCAUCUGACCAGAACAGAUCCGGCGGUGAGGGACGAAAGCCAGGGGAGCAAACCGGAUUAGAGACCCGAGUAGUCC
rnacentral:rRNA from 1 species